UGAGCUUGAUCCUGGCUCAGGAUGAACGCUAGCGGCAGGCUUAACACAUGCAAGUCGAGGGGUAUAAGUCUUCGGAUUUAGAGACCGGCGCACGGGUGCGUAACGCGUAUGCAAUCUACCUUUUACAGAGGGAUAGCCCAGAGAAAUUUGGAUUAAUACCUCAUAGCAUAGCAGCUUCGCAUGAAGCCACUAUUAAAGUCACAACGGUAAAAGAUGAGCAUGCGUCCCAUUAGCUAGUUGGUAAGGUAACGGCUUACCAAGGCUACGAUGGGUAGGGGUCCUGAGAGGGAGAUCCCCCACACUGGUACUGAGACACGGACCAGACUCCUACGGGAGGCAGCAGUGAGGAAUAUUGGACAAUGGGCGCAAGCCUGAUCCAGCCAUGCCGCGUGCAGGAUGACGGUCCUAUGGAUUGUAAACUGCUUUUAUACGAGAAGAAACACUCCUUCGUGAAGGAGCUGACGGUA
rnacentral:rRNA from 1 species